rnacentral:rRNA from 1 species
AUCUUGCGCAAUGGGCGAAAGCCUGACGCAGCGACGCCGCGUGAGUGAUGAAGGCCUUCGGGUUGUAAAGCUCUGUGGAGGGGGACGAAUAAGGCAUGGCUAACAUCCAUGUCGAUGACGGUACCCCUUUAGCAAGCACCGGCUAACUCUGUGCCAGCAGCCGCGGUAAGACAGAGGGUGCAAACGUUGUUCGGAAUGACUGGGCGUAAAGCGCGUGUAGGCGGUUCUGCAAGUCGGGUGUGAAAGCCCUGGGCUCAACCCAGGAAGUGCACUCGAAACUGCAGGACUGGAGUCCCGGAGAGGAAGGCGGAAUUCUCGGUGUAGAGGUGAAAUUCGUAGAUAUCGAGAGGAACACCGGUGGCGAAGGCGGCCUUCUGGACGGCGACUGACGCUGAGACGCGAAAGCGUGGGGAGCAAACAGG